rnacentral:rRNA from 1 species
GACGAACGCUGGCGGCGUGCUUAACACAUGCAAGUCGAGCGGUAAGGCCCUUUCAGGGGUACACGAGCGGCGAACGGGUGAGUAACACGUGGGUGACCUGCCCUCAGCUCUGGGAUAAGCCUGGGAAACUGGGUCUAAUACUGGAUAUGACUCCACGGUGCAUGUCGUGGGGUGGAAAGCCUUGUGCGGCUGAGGAUGGGCCCGCGGCCUAUCAGCUUGUUGGUGGGGNGAUGGCCUACCAAGGCGACGACGGGUAGCCGGCCUGAGAGGGCGACCGGCCACACUGGGACUGAGACACGGCCCAGACUCCUACGGGAGGCAGCAGUGGGGAAUCUUGCGCAAU